ACACGUGUUACAAUGGCCGGUACAGAGGGCAGCUACCUGGAGACAGGAUGCGAAUCUCGAAAGCCGGUCUCAGUUCGGAUCGGAGUCUGCAACUCGACUCCGUGAAGCUGGAUUCGCUAGUAAUCGCGCAUCAGCCAUGGCGCGGUGAAUACGUUCCCGGGCCUU
rnacentral:rRNA from 1 species